GAAAGUAAGCAAGGGCAGACGGUGGAUGCCUUGGCUCUCGGAGGCGAUGAAGGACGUGAUAAGCUGCGAUAAGCUUGGGGUAGGUGCAAAUAACCUUUGAUCCCAAGAUUUCCGAAUGGGGCAACCCGGCUGGUAGAAGGCCAGUCAUUCCGUAAGGAAGGCGAACGUGGGGAACUGAAACAUCUAAGUACCCAUAGGAGAAGAAAACAAAAGUGAUUCCGCAAGUAGUGGCGAGCGAACGCGGAACAGCCCAAACCGAUGAUGUUUAGGCAUUGUCGGGGUAGUAGGACCACGUUGUGGCAAGAGAUUAAGGAAGUAGAACGUUUUGGAACAAACGGCCGUAGACGGUGAAAGCCCAGUAUACGACUCUUUAACGAAGCCUAGUGGAAUCCUGAGUAGCGCGGAGCACGAGAAAUUCUGUGUGAAUCAGCGGGGCCCAUCCCGUAAGGCUAAAUACUCCCGAGAGACCGAUAGCGAACCAGUACUGUGAAGGAAAGGUGAAAAGCACCUCGAACAGAGGAGUGAAAUAGUCCCUGAAACCGUCUGCCUACAAGCGGUCGGAGCAACGUAAGUUGUGACGGCGUGCCUUUUGCAUAAUGAACCUACGAGUUACUUUCUCCGGCAAGGUUAAGGGCUUCAGGCCCGGAGCCGAAGCGAAAGCGAGUCUUAAUAGGGCGUGAUAGUCGGAGUGAGUAGACGCGAAACCAAGUGAUCUACCCUUGGUCAGGAUGAAGGUUGGGUAACACCAACUGGAGGUCCGAAUGGGUAUACGUUGAAAAGUGUUCCAAUGAACUGAGGGUAGGGGUGAAAGGCUAAUCAAACUUGGAGAUAGCUCGUACUCCCCGAAAUGCAUUUAGGUGCAGCCUUUAUUUAGUAUAGCAUGAGGUAGAGCGACUGAUUGGAUGCGAGGGCUUCACCGCCUAUCAAGUCCAGAUAAACUCCGAAUGCGUGCUAUAUAUUGAUAAGGAGUGAGGGCGCGGGUGCUAAGGUCCGCGUCCGAGAGGAGAAGAAUCCAGACCAUCAGCUAAGGUCCCCAAAUAACAGUUAAGUUGAACUAACGAAGUCGGACUGCAGAGACAGCUAGGAUGUUGGCUUGGAAGCAGCCAUUCAUUUAAAGAGUGCGUAACAGCUCACUAGUCGAGGAGUCCGGCGUGGAUAAUACUCGGGCAUAAACUGUUUACCGAAGCUAUGGAUGUAGAAAUACAUGGUAGGGGAGCAUUCCAACGGCGUCGAAGGUGAAGGAUGACCUUUGCUGGAGCUUUUGGAAACGCAAAUGUAGGUAUAAGUAACGAUAAAGGAGGUGAGAAACCUCCUCGCCGAAAGACUAAGGUUUCCUGAUCAACGUUAAUCGGAUCAGGGUAAGUCGGGACCUAAGGUUAAGCCGAACGGCGAUACCGAUGGAAGAAUGGUUUAAUAUUCCCAUACUACUUUAUGGAGCGAUGUGGAGACGGAGAAGUGAAAGUCCUGCCAUCUGACGGAAUAGGUGGUUGAAGAGUGUAGAUGUAGAUUCCUGUAGGCAAAUCCGCAGGGAGAGUCGACCUUGACAGUAUGCCGCGUGCUUGCACAAGGCAAAAUGGACGUAAUCAGGCUCCCAAGAAAAUCCGCUAAGCAUAUUCAUAAAGUACCCGUACCGUAAACGGACACACGUAGUUGGGUUGAAAAUACUGAGGCGCUCGAGUGAUUCACGGUUAAGGAACUAGGCAAAUUGACCCUGUAACUUCGGGAUAAAGGGUCCCUACUGAGAGGUAGGGCGCAGAGAAUAGGUCCAGGCAACUGUUUAACAAAAACACAUGGCUGUGCGAAAUAGAAAUAUGAAGUAUACAGCCUGACACCUGCCCGGUGCUGGAAGGUUAAGAGGAGAGCUCAUCGCAAGAGAAGGCUUGAAUUGAAGCCCCAGUAAACGGCGGCCGUAACUAUAACGGUCCUAAGGUAGCGAAAUUCCUUGUCGGGU
rnacentral:rRNA from 1 species